rnacentral:sRNA from 1 species
ACUGGGCAUGGUGGCACAUGCCUGUAAUCCCAACAGCUCAGGAAGCUGAGGCAGGAGGAUCGUGAGUUCAAAGCCAGCCUCAGCAAAAGUGAGACACUAAGCAAGUCAGUGAGAUCCUGUCUCUA